CAGGCUUAACACAUGCAAGUCGAGGGGCAGCAUUUUAGUUUGCUUGCAAACUGAAGAUGGCGACCGGCGCACGGGUGAGUAACACGUAUCCAACCUGCCGAUAACUCCGGAAUAGCCUUUCGAAAGAAAGAUUAAUACCGGAUAGCAUACGAAUAUCGCAUGAUAUUUUUAUUAAAGAAUUUCGGUUAUCGAUGGGGAUGCGUUCCAUUAGUUUGUUGGCGGGGUAACGGCCCACCAAGACUACGAUGGAUAGGGGUUCUGAGAGGAAGGUCCCCCACAUUGGAACUGAGACACGGUCCAAACUCCUACGGGAGGCAGCAGUGAGGAAUAUUGGUCAAUGGGCGAGAGCCUGAACCAGCCAAGUAGCGUGAAGGAUGAAGGCUCUAUGGGUCGUAAACUUCUUUUAUAUGGGAAUAAAGUUUUCCACGUGUGGAAUUUUGUAUGUACCAUAUGAAUAAGGAUCGGCUAACUCCGUGCCAGCAGCCGCGGUAAUACGGAGGAUCCGAGCGUUAUCCGGAUUUAUUGGGUUUAAAGGGAGCGUAGGUGGAUUGUUAAGUCAGUUGUGAAAGUUUGCGGCUCAACCGUAAAAUUGCAGUUGAGACUGGCAGUCUUGAGUACAGUAGAGGUGGGCGGAAUUCGUGGUGUAGCGGUGAAAUGCUUAGAUAUCACGAAGAACUCCGAUUGCGAAGGCAGCUCACUAGACUGUCACUGACACUGAUGCUCGAAAGUGUGGGUAUCAAACAGGAUUAGAUACCCUGGUAGUCCACACAGUAAACGAUGAAUACUCGCUGUUUGCGAUAUACAGUAAGCGGCCAAGCGAAAGCAUUAAGUAUUCCACCUGGGGAGUACGCCGGCAACGGUGAAACUCAAAGGAAUUGACGGGGGCCCGCACAAGCGGAGGAACAUGUGGUUUAAUUCGAUGAUACGCGAGGAACCUUACCCGGGCUUAAAUUGCAACAGAAUAUAUUGGAAACAGUAUAGCCGUAAGGCUGUUGUGAAGGUGCUGCAUGGUUGUCGUCAGCUCGUGCCGUGAGGUGUCGGCUUAAGUGCCAUAACGAGCGCAACCCUUAUCUUUAGUUACUAACAGGUUAUGCUGAGGACUCUAGAGAGACUGCCGUCGUAAGAUGUGAGGAAGGUGGGGAUGACGUCAAAUCAGCACGGCCCUUACGUCCGGGGCUACACACGUGUUACAAUGGGGGGUACAGAAGGCGGCUACCUGGUGACAGGAUGCUAAUCCCAAAAACCUCUCUCAGUUCGGAUCGAAGUCUGCAACCCGACUUCGUGAAGCUGGAUUCGCUAGUAAUCGCGCAUCAGCCAUGGCGCGGUGAAUACGUUCCCGGGCCUUGUACACACCGCCCGUCAAGCCAUGAAAGCCGGGGGUACCUGAAGUACGUAACCACGAGGAGCGUCCUAGGGUAAAACUGGUAAUUGGGGC
rnacentral:rRNA from 1 species